GAUGAACGCUGGCGGCGUGCCUAAUACAUGCAAGUCGAGCGAACGGACGAGAAGCUUGCUUCUCUGAUGUUAGCGGCGGACGGGUGAGUAACACGUGGAUAACCUACCUAUAAGACUGGGAUAACUUCGGGAAACCGGAGCUAAUACCGGAUAAUAUUUUGAACCGCAUGAUUCAAAAGUGAAAGACGGUCUUACUGUCACUUAUAGAUGGAUCCGCGCUGCAUUAGCUAGUUGGUAAGGUAACGGCUUACCAAGGCAACGAUGCAUAGCCGACCUGAGAGGGUGAUCGGCCACACUGGAACUGAGACACGGUCCAGACUCCUACGGGAGGCAGCAGUAGGGAAUCUUCCGCAAUGGGCGAAAGCCUGACGGAGCAACGCCGCGUGAGUGAUGAAGGUCUUCGGAUCGUAAAACUCUGUUAUUAGGGAAGAACAUAUGUGUAAGUAACUGUGCACAUCUUGACGGUACCUAAUCAGAAAGCCACGGCUAACUACGUG
rnacentral:rRNA from 1 species